GUAGAUACUUGUCCCAGUGUCAUUCAGUUUUGCAAAGGGUGACACAUAACCAGCAGCAGCCCGGGAAACACCAGAUCCAUUACUGACCUUGCCAGGAACAUUCUUCAGAAUAUGAAUGUCAAGAAUAUUCCUCAGCACUGUGAAAGCAACAUAUGGAAGUAUUCCAGUUUCCAGAAUAUGAAUGUCAAGCCUUUUCCUCAGCACUGUGAAAGCAAUAUAUGGAGUAUUCCAGAAUAUGAAUGUCAAGCUUUUUCCUCAGCACUGUGAAAGCAAUAUAUGGAGUAUUCCAGUUUCCAGAAUAUGAAUGUCAAGCUUUUUCCUCAGCACUGUGAAAACAAUAUAUGGAGUAUUCCAGUUUCCAGAAUAUGAAUGUCAAGCCUUUUCCUCAGCACUGUGAAAGCAAUAUAUGGAAGUACUCCACUCUCCAGAAUAUGAAUGUCAACCUUUUUCCUCUGCCCUCUGAACUCAACUGCCAAUCAACUGUCUGAUCCUUCUUCUGAUUAAACAUCUACGCUGACUC